rnacentral:rRNA from 1 species
GACGAACGCUGGCGGCGUGCCUAAUACAUGCAAGUAGAACGCUGAAGAGAGGAGCUUGCUCUUCUUGGAUGAGUUGCGAACGGGUGAGUAACGCGUAGGUAACCUGCCUUGUAGCGGGGGAUCACUAUUGGAAACGAUAGCUAAUACCGCAUAACAAUGGAUGACACAUGUCAUUUAUUUGAAAGGGGCAAUUGCUCCACUACAAGAUGGACCUGCGUUGUAUUAGCUAGUAGGUGAGGUAAUGGCUCACCUAGGCGACGAUACAUAGCCGACCUGAGAGGGUGAUCGGCCACACUGGGACUGAGACACGGCCCAGACUCCUACGGGAGGCAGCAGUAGGGAAUGUUCGGCAAUGGGGGCAACCCUGACCGAGCAACGCCGCGUGAGUGAAGAAGGUUUUCGGAUCGUAAAGCUCUGUUGUAAGUCAAGAACGGGUGUGAGAGUGGAAAGUUCACACUGUGACGGUAGCUUACCAGAAAGGGACGGCUAACUACGUG